AGUGAACGCUGGCGGUAGACCUAACACAUGCAAGUCGAACGGCAGCACAGUAAGAGCUUGCUCUUACGGGUGGCGAGUGGCGGACGGGUGAGGAAUACAUCGGAAUCUACUUUUUCGUGGGGGAUAACGUAGGGAAACUUACGCUAAUACCGCAUACGACCUACGGGUGAAAGCAGGGGAUCUUCGGACCUUGCGCGAUUGAAUGAGCCGAUGUCGGAUUAGCUAGUUGGCGGGGUAAAGGCCCACCAAGGCGACGAUCCGUAGCUGGUCUGAGAGGAUGAUCAGCCACACUGGAACUGAGAAAAGGUCCAGACUCCUACGGGAGGCAGCAGUGGGGAAUAUUGGACAAAGGGCGAAAGCCUGAUCCAGCCAUACCGCGUGGGUGAAGAAGGCCUUCGGGUUGUAAAGCCCUUUUGUUGGGAAAGAAAAGCAGCAGGUUAAUACCCCGCUGUUCUGACGGUACCCAAAGAAUAAGCACCGGCUAACUUCGUG
rnacentral:rRNA from 1 species